rnacentral:rRNA from 1 species
AAGUCGUAACAAGGUCUCCGUUGGUGAACCAGCGGAGGGAUCAUUACAGAGUUGCAAAACUCCCAACCCUUUGUGAACAAACCUACCAGUUGCCUCGGCGGCGAGCCUUCAGGGCGGACCGCCGGAGGAAUACAAACUCUUUGCAUUUUAGCAUCUCUGAUUACUUAUUCAAUAAGUUAAAACUUUCAACAACGGAUCUCUUGGUUCUGGCAUCGAUGAAGAACGCAGCGAAAUGCGAUAAGUAAUGUGAAUUGCAGAAUUCAGUGAAUCAUCGAAUCUUUGAACGCACAUUGCGCCCGCUAGUAUUCUGGCGGGCAUGCCUGUUCGAGCGUCAUUUCAACCAUCAAGCCCUAGGCUUGUGUUGGAGCCCUGCGGCCGCCGCAGCCUCCCAAAACCAGUGGCGGGCUCGCUAUCACACCGAGUGCAGUAGUUUACUCUUCGCUCAGGGCGUGUGGCGGGUGCUAGCCGUAAAACCUCCUACUUCUCAAGGUUGACCUCGGAUCAGGUAGGAAUACCCGCUGAACUUA